rnacentral:rRNA from 1 species
GAUGAACGCUGGCGGUAUGCUUAACACAUGCAAGUCGAACGGUCACUUCGGUGAUAGUGGCGGACGGGUGAGUAACGCGUGGGAAUCUGGCUUCAGGUCGGGGACAACAGUUAGAAAUGACUGCUAAUACCGGAUGUGCCUUUGGGUGAAAGAUUUAUUUCCUGAAAAAGAGCUCGCGGCAGAUUAGCUAGUAGGUGGUGUAAGAGACUACUUAGGCUCCGAUCUGUAGCUGGUCUGAGAGGACGAUCAGGCACACUGGAACUGGGCCACGGUCCAGAAUACUACGGGAGGCAGCAAUGCGGGAUCUUGCCAAAUCGGGGAAGGCCUGACGGAGCAAUACCGCGUGAGGGAUGAAGGCUUUUGGGUAGUACAGCUCUUUUCUCACGGAAUAUGCUGACGGUACUUGAGGAAUAAGCACCGGCUAACUCCGUG